rnacentral:rRNA from 1 species
AUCCUGGCUCAGGAUGAACGCUGGCGGCGUGCUUAACACAUGCAGGUCGAACGAAGUAAUUUAGCGGAAGUUUUCGGAUGGAAGCUGGAUUGACUGAGUGGCGGACGGGUGAGUAACGCGUGGGUAACCUGCCUUAUACCGGGGGAUAACACUUAGAAAUAGGUGCUAAUACCGCAUAAGCGCACGGUGUCGCAUGACACAGUGUGAAAAACUCCGGUGGUAUAAGAUGGACCCGCGUCUGAUUAGCCAGUUGGCAGGGUAACGGCCUACCAAAGCGACGAUCAGUAGCCGGCCUGAGAGGGUGAACGGCCACAUUGGGACUGAGACACGGCCCAAACUCCUACGGGAGGCAGCAGUGAGGAAUAUUGGUCAAUGGACGAGAGUCUGAACCAGCCAAGUAGCGUGCAGGAUGACGGCCCUAUGGGUUGUAAACUGCUUUUAUAAGGGAAUAAAGUGGGAGUCGUGACUCUUUUUGCAUGUACCUUAUGAAUAAGGACCGGCUAAUUCCGUG